CCUCCUCUCUUCCUCCCAAUCGGAAUGGAGUGGCAGCAAGCUGGGUAGGACGGCCCCUCAAGUGAAGAACCGGUUGGAAGCGGCGACAGCUCCCGCUGUUGGAAGCGACGGGGGUGACUGGACGCGGCCGAGCGGCAGCAUGGGGUUUGCUUCUCCCUCCCCUCCCUCGCUCUUCCUCUUUACAUGUCUCUCUCAGCUCUCUCUUUUUAGCUGCAGGGAAUGGUGGCUGGGGAACACACUAACGGGUCUAUGGGGCAGGUCGCAGGCUCGCAUCCAGCCUCGAAUUCAUGGGAGCCCUGCUCCAGCGUGAAGGGCAGGAUUGGAUACAACAUGGUCAUUUAGGAUGGCUUCAACACGGAGAGUGGUGGCGGCGCGACGCCUCGAGCUCGAGAAGUCGUCCAUAGCUGGCCUGGGAUCGAGAUCUGGCAGACCGCUCGGCCCCGGCAAUGUCCACGGCGCUGCGAACCCCGCCUUCCGUGAUUACCAGGAUUUUGAACUCAUAAAGCUUCUUUGCAUAUUCGUUAUGAUUUUUGUGGUGUGGCGAGAAUGGGUAUUGUACGAGUACGAGCCAAAGUUGUGCAGGAUACUUUAGAACGGAACAAGGACAUCAACUGUCAAGUGAUUUGGUGCUAAGGGUGACUACAAUGUUCUUGUUAUGUCCGUGUUGGGGCCAAGCCUAGAAGACCUUUUCAGCUCUUGCAACAGAAAACUGUGGCUCAAAACUUUGGUUAUGCUUGCUGAUCAACUGAUUUAUUUCUAGGCCUCCAGGGUAUCAUGUUGUUGUACGAGCAGGUGAUUCUGAAAGUAGUGCACCCGAAUGUUCCUCCAUGAAUGGAUUUUAGCUGAUGCUUUUGUUGUGUAUGGAGAAGUUUUGAAGUUUAUGUAGGCCUUUUGUACACUUAGGCACAAUGUUCAUACAUGUGCUACUGAUUUCAAAGUAGAAAUAAACGUUUGCUUAAUUACAUACUUGCUUAUGGAACCUAACUUUACAUAUGUAAGGCUACUCCUGUGUAACUUGGGCCUCUAUGUGGUUUCCGGCUAUCAGCUAAUAUAUUUGUUUGCACGGGCUUUGUACAGAGCUGAGUUAUAUUUUAAUGUGAUAAGUAUCAUGGCCAUGAUUAUCCGAUAUUUGAACUCGUUGGUGAAUUAGUUGGUUUUCAGGUUAUUUUGCACUGUUGCAGUUUCUCUGAACUUGGCGAUGUAGCUUGACUAUAUAAUGAGCCCCUCUUUCUAAUUCCUUACCUACUCUCU